UAACAUAAAAAUACUGGCACAGUCUUAGUAUUUCAACAAUUACAAUUGAGGUAAAUUGUAAACAUGAAUUUGAAGUUUUUAAUAUCAUAUGAAUGCAAAAGGUUUUGCGAAGAUAAUUGUAAGGAUUUCAACAAUAACAAAAAUAUCUUUGAUGGUUAUGAUAUGAGAAAUAUUGCAUGCAUAGCUUUGAAACAAUUAUUUACACAAAGUUACAAAAGUAUCAACAAAAACAAUUAACAAAUGUAAGGAAUGUCAUCUGAUAUGUGUAUACAGCUUUAGAAGCGGUAAAUAUUUGAAUAUAGAAACCAUAUAGAUUUUUUUUCAAAUUAUAGUUUUAACAAAGUAUAAUCAAAUUUAAACAAAUAUAUACUCACUUCCUUUGUAUAGGGAAUAUUUGCAAAAUAUACAUUUAUUACAGUUUGAGAUGGAAAGGGUUUUGAUUAGAAUAUUUUCACAUUCAGACUACAAAAGAUGUCAGAGAUAAAAAUGUACUCAUUGCCAGAAGCGCAACUGAUAUACCACCUUUGAAACAUCAGUUUAAUUGAUGUAAAAUUUAGUUUACAUGAUUUUUGAAAGCUGUUUCAACACCUUAGAUGUAUUGUUUAAAAACAAAAUCCUAUAACUAAGUAAUAUAUAAAACUUAAUAUCUAAUUCUAUAAAACAUCUAUCGACACAUGCUUGAAACAUUUGACAGAUAAACAACUUGAUAGCCUCAGGCAAUGAUAGAUUAUCAGUUUAAAAAGUUAUGUAACUUCACAAAGGUCCAUAUGUGAUAAAAGGAUAUAGAAUCAUAUUUUCAAACAUUCUCUCUAUAGACAUCAGAAAGGACACAAACAAGGAAAUGUACUAUGCUGUUGGUUUGUUUUCAGGAAUGAUAGGUUUGUUUUCAGGAAUGCUGGCUAUCCUUAUAGAACUAGCAAAAUUGAAAGUGGUAGUAGAAAACUUGAGUGUGACUGUAAAACAGUUGAGUAAAUGUAUCAAUGAAAAAGAAGGAAUCAUAGAAUGUAUGGAAGGAAUUUUAAAAACUAUGGUGGGAGUGAACCAUACAAGUCAACAAAUUAAAGACAUUAUGGGAAAAAAAGACACAAGGUAAGAGAACAGAACUUUUUUUGCAAAUCUUGUAACCUCUAACAUACCAACUUUCAUAAACAUCUGAAUUGGAAUGUUAAUUACAAAAUCAAAACAUUUCACAUUAAAAAUGGAAGGCUAUACAAGUCAUAAUAUAUAUAUAUAUAUCAAUUAAUUUUUUUUAUAUACAUUUGAAGAGAAAAAGUCCAGAAGACGUUUAAGGACCAGGCAGUACACUUCAGAUUGGAAAUACUACCUAGCUAGAAAUACGAUGGAAAUGUAUGGAAAGGUACAAAUUGUUCUCAGCCAGAGAGGGUGGAAACUAGAAUCAAACGUGACACCUAAAGUAAAGGUUGCUGUUACGACAGGGAAUGGCGAGAAGUAUGUACAUGCAAGCAGGAACGGGCAGACUUUAAGUUUGCAUUACGAGGAGUUUGAAGAGUCGUGUCUCGUUAAGGAGGCUAUUGAUGUUCAACUCCAUCAUUUAGACAAGGUAAUGAAAAAAAAAAAAAAAAAACACACACACACACAUCCUAUCCAACUUCACUUUUGAUUCUAGUUUCCACCCUCUCUGGCUGAGAACAAUUUGUACCUUUCCAUACAUUUCCAUCGUAUUUCUAGCUAGGUAGUAUUUCCAAUCUAAAAUAUGUGUUGAAAGUGUGUUAAAACCGUUAGGAUGUGAUCUGUCGUCUUUUCAUUGGAUGAACCGUUGACCCAAUGAGGAAUUAAAAUUUUUAAAUAUGCUGCUGGACAUGUGGAAUGUUGAUCGUGAUAAACUUAACGGUUGACUGAUUUGUCCAAUUUGAUAUAGACUGGAUAUUACACCGUUUUAAAUUUUUUUUUCUCUCAUAAUGUUUUACCUUUUCUAGUUGUUUUAAUAAUUAUACAUUAUCCCAGAUUAAUAAAAGCAUUGUUAAUAGCAAUACAUCUGAAGAUUUAUGUUAAUAACAAUAAUUCCAGCGAUCAAUGUCAAUAGUAUAACCUCUGAUGUAAAAUUACAUGUUUCAAAUUCUGUUAUGGGUACUAAAGCUGUCUCACUAUCAGAAUCUGUUGUAAAAGAAAACAGAAUUUUCAAAUCAUCUUUUUUUUUAUUGUUUUAGAUAGUUUAUACUAAUUCAUUUUUUUCACACUGUCAUUGUCUUAAAAUUAAACAUAGUUUUAGAGGGUUUAAAUUGAACACAUUAUCUUACCUCAUUAUAAAUAUGUCAUAAAAUGUUUAUGCAUUAAAUUACUUCAAGUUAAACCUUAAGAAAUAGUUGAAUAACCCUUACCUGAAGUGUACUGCCUGGUCCUUAAACGUCUUCUGGACUUUUUCUCUUCAAAUGUAUAUAAAAAAAAUUAAUUGAUAUAUAUAAUAUAUAUAUAUAUUUAGACUUGUAUAGCCUUCCAUUUUUAAUGUGAAAUGUUUUGAUUUUGUAAUUAACAUUCCAAUUCAGAUGUUUAUGAAAGUUGGUAUGUUAGAGGUUACAAGAUUUACAAAAAAAAGUUCUGUUCUCUUACCUUGUGUCUUUUUUCCCAUAAUGUCUUUAAUUUGUUGACUUGUAUGGUUCACUCCCACCAUAGUUUGUAAAAUUCCUUCCAUACAUUCUAUGAUUCCUUCUUUUUCAUUGAUACAUUUACUCAACUGUUUUACAGUCACACUCAAGUUUUCUACUACCACUUUCAAUUUUGCUAGUUCUAUAAGGAUAGCCAGCAUUCCUGAAAACAAACCUAUCAUUCCUGAAAACAAACCAAUAGCAUAGUACAUUUCCAUGAUUGUGUCCUUUCUGAUGUCUAUAGAGAGAAUGUUUGAAAAUAUGAUUCUAUAUCCUUUUAUCACAUAUGGACCUUUGUGAAGUUACAUAACUUUUUAAACUGAUAAUCUAUCAUUGCCUGAGGCUAUCAAGUUGUUUAUCUGUCAAAUGUUUCAAGCAUGUGUCGAUAGAUGUUUUAUAGAAUUAGAUAUUAAGUUUUAUAUAUUACUUAGUUAUAGGAUUUUUUUUAAAACAAUACAUCUAAGGUGUUUAAACUGCUUUAAAAAAUCAUGUAAACUAAAUUUUACAUCAAUUAAACUGAUGUUUCAAAGGUGGUAUAUCAGUUGCGCUUCUGGCAAUGAGUACAUUUUUAUCUCUGACAUCUUUUGUAGUCUGAAUGUGAAAAUAUUCUAAUCAAAACCCUUUCCAUCUAAAACUGUAAUAAAUGUAUAUUUUGCAAAUGUUCCCUAUACAAAGGAAGUGAAUAUAUAUUUGUUUAAAUUUGAUUAUACUUUGUUAAAACUAUAAUUUGAAAAACAAUCUAUAUGGUUUCUAUAUUCAAAUAUUUACCGAUUCUAAAGCUGUAUACACAUAUCAGAUGACAUUCCUUACAUUUGUUAAUUGUUUUUGUUGAUACUUUUGUAACUUUGUGUAAAUAUUUGUUUCAAAGCUAUGCAUGCAAUAUUUCUCAUAUCAUGACCAUCAAAGAUAUUUUUGUUAUUGUUGAAAUCCUUACAAUUAUCUUCGCAAAACCUUUUGCAUUCCUAUAAUAUUAAAAACUUCAAAUUCAUGUUUACAAUUUACCUCAAUUGUAAUUGCUGAAAUACUAAAACUGUGCCAGUAUUUUUAUGUUAAAGUCAUGUUUACAGUUUAUACCAUUCAAUAUGUUUGAUAAUUGUUGAAAUCUUAAGACUGUGCCAUUAUCUGAGUAUUUUAUGUGUCAAAGCCGUGUUUGCAGUAAAAUUAAUAACUUAAUGUUGAUACAUGUUACUAGUAAGUUGCAUCUUUAACUAAAUACUCUUUGAAAUGUUUACUUUUAAGUAAAUGUUGUAUAGGUUGUUUGAUAUAUAUAUGUGUUUACAAGUUUUAUGAUUUAAAAAUGUUUAUAGUUCUCUGUCUAACAUAUGCAAAUACUCAACUAUACUAUAGAUGUUUUAGGUUUUAUAUACAUGUGAAAUACCUCAUGGAUAAGAUGAAGCAUGAUGUUGUAUGCAAAUACUCAACUAUACAGUUGUUAAACAGGUGCUGGUCUGUUCAGUUUUUCCUAAAGUUUUUCAUCCUAUGGAUGUUUCAGGUUUUAUAUACAUGUGAAAUACCUCAUGGAUAAGAUGAAGCAUGAUGUUGCAUUAUUGAUAUAUUUUUUUUAAAGUACUGUGUUUCAUCUGCUAAAAGUUGAGUUGUAGAAAAUAAAACAUUAUGAAUAGAA